UGGGGAAUAUUGCACAAUGGGCGCAAGCCUGAUGACGCAACGCCGCGUGGGGGAUGAAGGUCUUCGGAUUGUAAACCCCUGUCGAAUGGGACGAAAGACUCGCGAGUUAAUACUUCGCGGGAGUGACGGUACCGUUAAAGGAAGCCACGGCUAACUCUGUGCCAGCAGCCGCGGUAAUACAGAGGUGGCAAGCGUUGUUCGGAAUUACUGGGCGUAAAGGGCGCGUAGGCGGCCUACUAAGUCAGACGUGAAAUCCCCCGGCUUAACCUGGGAACUGCGUCUGAUACUGGAAGGCUUGAGUAUGGGAGAGGGAUGUAGAAUUCCAGGUGUAGCGGUGAAAUGCGUAGAUAUCUGGAGGAAUACCGGUGGCGAAGGCGGCAUCCUGGACCAUUACUGACGCUGAGGCGCGAAAGCUAGGGGAGCAAACGGGAUUAGAUACCCACGUAGUCCCUGAGCGGGCUGGCAAGGCGCAU
rnacentral:rRNA from 1 species